GUACUUCAAUUAUACCUCAAUAAAGUUGUUUAAAAAUAUAUAUGUAAUAUAAAGUUGACAAAACACAAACACAACCCAAAAUUUAAAACCGGGUCCCAGUGAAAUAUCUACAAUUGAAAUACUGACUCUUGUAAUUUAUUAUAUAUAUUGAAUAUUACACUAAAGAAUAAUCUGUAAAAAGGUCAAGCAUAUUGUCAAGUGGUCAGAGUAUUUAAAAAAGUGAUGAAUUUUACAAAAAGGAUUAUCUUUUAGCUCUCUUUCAACUUCGAAAUUUGCUUUAUUUUUAUCCUCACACUAAUAAGGAAAGCAGGAUUGAAGAAUGAUGCUGACAGAGGUUAAAGGAGUCGUACAAAGUCACAGGACCUG
rnacentral:lncRNA from 10 species